GUUUUACUAUUCUCUGUUUGCGUUAUUGUAUGAUUAUUGUUCAAUAGGGUUUUACUCUUUCGUAAUUGCUUUUCCUUCCUUAAUUUUGCAAUUCAAUUGGGAAUGAUUGGAAUUGAAUUAAGAUUCGUCAAUGUUUGCUAUAAUUACCAUGGCCAUACGUUUUGGGUUCUUAUUUUGCUUGUUGAAAGGGUGUUUAAUUAAUUAGUCAGUUGCUUAGUGAAUUCGUCUCUAUUAGGAUAUUUAGGGAAAUCGGGGUUGAAUUAGCGUUGUG
rnacentral:misc_RNA from 1 species